UACAUGGGGUGCAAACGUUGCUCGGAAUUAUUGGGCGUAAAGCGCGCGUAGGCGGUUAUUCAAGUCGGAUGUGAAAGCCCUCGGCUUAACUGAGGAAGUGCACCCGAAACUGAGUAGCUAGAGUACCAAAGAGGGUCGCGGAAUUCCCGGUGUAGAGGUGAAAUGCGCAGAUAUCAGGAGGAACACCAGUGGCGAAGGCGACUCGCUGGACAAGUAUUGACGCUGAGGUGCGAAAGCGUGGGGAGCAAACAGG
rnacentral:rRNA from 1 species